rnacentral:lncRNA from 1 species
UAAAAGAGAGGAACCCAGUACAUAUCCAUAAAGGAAGAUGCAAUCAUCCUGUUCUUUAUAAUGACUCAAGAUAGCAGGAUGGAUAAUAUCUUUCCAGAGACAGACUUCCCCAAGGAUGCCAGUCUUGCUGCCUUGUAUCAGUCAACUGAACCUAUUCUUAUUUGGGGUUACCUCUGCCCAGCACCACAGAUACAUGUAGGAUCUGAAUGUGGAAGAUCUCCAGCUCUGGGAGAGAAGCAGAUGUUAACUACAGGGUUGGGGAGGGAAUGGGGAAGAUGAAGGGAACAAAAUAAAAUUGU